rnacentral:tRNA from 1 species
ACACCUGUAACUCAAUGGAUAGAGUGUCACACUACGGAUGUGAAAGUUGUGGGUUCGACUCCUGCCAGGUGUG